CAAUCUAAAAAUAAAAAAUAAAAAAAUGAAGAAUAGAAUAAUUUUUUAUAAAUUUAAUAUUACUCACCUACGAAUUCGCCAGCGCGUAGGUUCAUCUCCAUGGCCGCUGCGCCUAUAUGAUGAGGACUAAAUAGAACGGACAGCAUCCUACUUUCCGAACCUUGCAGAGCUAAUACAAUAGUACCAACGGCCUGUCGUUCUCGAAGAAACUGAGAGAAUGUCAAAUGUUUUUAUAAAUGUAAAAUAUUAAUUAAAUGAUAUUCCAGUGGAUUAAAUAUAUUACUCGAAAAUUUUUUUUACUGUC